UACGAAGGGGGCUAGCGUUGCUCGGAAUCACUGGGCGUAAAGCGCACGUAGGCGGGUCGGUAAGUCAGGGGUGAAAUCCUGGAGCUCAACUCCAGAACUGCCCUUGAUACUGGCGAUCUCGAGUUCGGGAGAGGUGAGUGGAACUGCGAGUGUAGAGGUGAAAUUCGUAGAUAUUCGCAAGAACACCAGUGGCGAAGGCGGCUCACUGGCCCGAUACUGACGCUGAGGUGCGAAAGCGUGGGGAGCGAACAGG
rnacentral:rRNA from 1 species